GGAGGCAGGAAAAACCCAGCGUCCAGGCCACUUACCGAGCCGAGGAGGGACCUAGAUUCCCGCCGCUCCGCUCUCGCGGUGGCCGGUCCGCCCUCCGCGCACCCCGAGGCUGCACCCAGCACCCCAGACGCGAGACGUGGAGGAACGCUGUGAACGAGCCGGGAGACCCUCCAAGUUGCUCUGGGCUCCGUGGAGCGUCAAGGUCCAAGACACAACUUGGCAAAGACUUGUGCCACAGUCACCGAAGAUGUUUGUGCGGAGACCCUCCUGCGGGGAACGACGGCGCUCGGCGGCGCCCCGCUCUCCUCCUCUCCACCCCCUCACCUCCAGCCCGCCUCCCGCCGGCCGCCCGCCUCCGGGCCGCGAGCCCCUCGGGCGGCUGUCAGCUCCCGGCCGCCGCCGGGUGACAGGGGCGGGAGGAGGGCGCGACGCGGCGGCCCGAGCCCCAGCGGGCGAGGGGGAUCCUCGCAGCCGCGGCGGCCGCUCACCUGGAAAGUCACCGCUGAGGAGGAGGAGAAGGAGGACGGGGAGGAGGAGGGAGAGGAGGAGGGGGAGGAAACCCCCCUGGUGCCCUUGUUCUCGCUGCCGCGGCGGCCGCUCCUCGCCAAGGCUGAGCGUGUCUGGUGGGGGGUGUCUGGUAGCAUUUCCUUAAGGACAGAGGGAGGGCGGGCGCGGAGGGAGGGAAAAGAUCCCGACCGCCAGCCCAGGCUCCUCUUGCCUUUAUUUAUUUUUCUGACACUGUACGGAGAUGGGCCCGGGGCAGGGGCCGCCGGGCUCAGGCGGGAGCCGCGAGGCCCGGGCCGCAGCUGUCUGCGUGCGGGAGCCGCAGCGGCCGCCUCCCCUCCCGGGCUGUGGACGCACCGGGUUAUUCCUGGCAGCGCCUCCCCGAACAGAAGUUACUAGGAGGAGUGCGCGGCGAGGGCGGACGGGGGGAGAGGCGGAGGGAGGGAGGGAGGAAGAGGGAGAGACUCAGCCAACGACGUCAUCGGAUCCCCCAGCGCGUCCCAGGGAGGGAGGCUGAACCAGAAAAACCAGUCUGGAGCCAGUGAGCGAGAGAGGGAUGUGCGGCGCGCGGGGCGACGGGGGAGGGAGGCGGUCGGGAGGGCAGGGCCGGGCCCCACGGCUGCCGCUGCGGGCGGGGAGAUCGCGGCCGCGCACUCGCUCGGUCGGAGCGGGGAACUCCCCGGAGAGCUGGUCUCUACUUGUCAUGCAAAAAAACUUGGGCAUCUCUAGGAGCCUGAGAAUUUCCUUUAAGGAUGUGGAAACGUCCUCCGUCCCCACCCCUUCCCCAUUUCCCAGAGAAUCGUUGUCUGCCUUCCUGACGAACGGAAUUGUAUAAUUAGUAGUGCCCUUAGAUUUGGAACCAGUACUCCGGAUCCCUGGCCUCUCCUCGCCCCCUGCCUCUACUCACAAUUAUGUUAUCGGUCAAGAAAAGCAAAAUCAGACUGUGGCUCCCGGCUGGGUUUCUGGAGCUUUGUAGGGUUUUACUAGCACUUUCCGUGCCCCUGCGGGCGCGCGAACUAUUCACGUGCUCGAAACGCCCGGAUUACCUUCCCUGAGGUCACUCACCAGGGUGCCCCCGGCACCCCCAGUUCGGGGACCGCGGCCCGCCCUCGCCAGGGGAUUCAAAUAGGUGUGGGCAGCGGCGCGAAGAGCAGCUGCCGGUUUCCUGGUGGGCCGCGCUGGAACCUCGGGGCGAGCUGCCACCUUCAGCCUGUGCGCUUCCCUCUCCACGGAAGGGACCGGAGUUGAAAUCACAACCAACCCUGGGAGAGCGGGGCCGGGAGGCGGGGGAAUCCCAGGCGAGUGGGAGCCGAAGCUCUGGGCUUCCUCCCCGGCCGGGCGACACCCGGGGGACACCGGGGCUCUCUCGGGCCGUUACCCUGCCUAUGUGGACUGGUGUGCACCCUCGGGGGAGGUUCCUAGGGUGCCACGGUGCCCGAGCGCGACGAGUGACUGCUGGGGAGGGGGGCCGGGUCCCGGAGCGCCUCCUCCGGGUGGUCUCCCCCCCAGCGGGGACCGCGCGCAGCACCUCGCGGGCGCCCCAGCCCCCGCACCCUGCGGAGCAGAGCCGAGCGCCCAGGACGCCGCGGGCCCCAGCGGUCCUCCCCACCCCCUGGCCGCGCCGCCGCCCUGCCCGGGGCGGAGUAAACAAGAGACGCGCAAGAUUUGACCUGGCGCGACCCGGCUUUCUGGCCGGGGUUCCCCCUGAGCAGGUGACUCCGUGGGAGGGGUGGAAAUGAGUCUCUGGAAUUCCGGGCCAAAGACAAUAACUGUGGUUCUGCUUUUAAAGCAGGUAUUUCACCAGCAACUGCGGAAUGUUUUGUGUCUCCAGUUUCAAAUUUCGCGGAAAGGGACCAAAUAGAGCGUUUUAUUUAAUUGCUUAAUAGAGAAGAUUAAGCAGUUUCUUUAAGAAUCCAAUUUCCCUUCAACAAGCACAACAGCAGCUGCCCAAGCUCCCAGAAACUAAGCAAAGGCAAGUAGCAGGCAGCGUUUUGCUUCACUAGAAUGAAUGUUAGUUGAAACCUUAAAUACCUCUUUAAAAGACUAGAUUAAAGAGAAUAAUGGGAAUAUUAAGAUACUCCGGUAGUUAGUUAAAAUAUUUUUUAAGGAAAACCAGGCAGAUAUACAUCUAUUUUGAUGAUUUGAUCCCACCUUCAAAGAGGAUCCCUGAAAAGAGUUUUAGUCACAAUUUGACAAAUUUUAAAUAAUUACUUUGUUUCAGAGUCAUGAGGAUGGAAAGAAGAUAGCCUGCGUUGAGUUGAAGUAAAGUAAAAAUAUUAUGAAUAUGUGUAACUAGGUGACAUCCUCUCUGCUGGGAAGAAUCCUUUUUUUUUUUUUUUUUUUUUUUCUGGUGACAGGUUCUUGCUCCAUCACCCAGGCUGGAGUGCAGUGGCAUGAUCUUGGCUCACUGCAGCCUCUCCCUUUCAGGCUCAAGCAAUCCUCCCACCUCAGCCUCCCGAGUGGAGGGGGAGCCACUGCAGAUCUGGAGCAAAUCAGCACCAGCCACUCCAGAGCCUGACCUACAUAGGACUCAGAAAGCAUUGUCUAUUGUGAUUGAUUAUUCCUGUGUUCAGUCCCAAUGGCCUAUUGAUUGGGGGUUUCUCUCCAAAAGGCUGCAUGGCUUUUCUUCUCUAAGUGAAUCUCCUUUAUAACCCAUAUUUUAUGUCUAUAUACCAAACAUGCUAUCCAUAUUUAGUCAAUGUCCAGUUGCUUGCAUGUAAGGGCAAUAGAGUAAUCAGAAAACUCUUCCCAGAAAGCCCCCGAAGACAAAACUAGUACUGGUAGAAAACUGGGCAUGCAGCUCUAAGAAACUCUAUGGGAAGUGAGGCUGGGUGGGGCACAGCUGCCCCAGCCUGGCACCCAUAUGGAGCAUCAGCAAGGAAGUAGGAACUUUCUUUUCAUCAUGCAUCCUUCUUAUCACUUCUCAGUUUCAAAGGGAAAGAAAAUUUGGUAAUCUGCAUUUUGAGACAUUAAGAAAAUAAAAUAAUUAAUGGCUUCAUGGUUAUAUGGCAUUUUUCAGAGUAUUGUCAGAAAAUCAUUUCGAACUGAAAUUUUCAUUCAAAAAUAUUUAUUGAAUGCCGGCUAUGUGCUGAAGAUUCUUAAGAUACAUCAGUGAACAAAUCAAAGUUCCCUGCUUUCUUGGAGCUUGCAUUCCAGCGGGAGGAGAGGAUUUGGAGGAAGAAUGGGAUAGACAAUAAAUCACAAGACCUCCUGCCACAGAGCAUGGGACCUGAUAUAUCCAGGCAGGAGAACUGGGUACCAGGAGACACUGUACAUGAAGUUUCCAGAACCAGCCAUGUCCAUCUUACUAAUCAAGACUCUCUCUGUUAAAUCUGCAACUCAAAUGACUUUAAGGAAAAAUGGAUUUCAUUGAUUCACAUAACCAUCACUCAAGGACUAACUUUCAACAUAGUGAGAUCCUGAGGCUCAAAUAUUAUUACCCGGGUUCCAUGAACUGCUUCCUCUGACAUGAGAUCUAACAAGGCUAAAGACUAAAAUGCAGCUGUUUACAGCGUAAGUAGGAGGCCGUCCCGUGCAGUGCAAAAUCAACAGAGAGGAGACAGUCCUAUGCCUUCGAGAGACAGUCUGCUGAUACUGUCAUGAUGUCUAGUGACAGGCCAGAGAUCAAAACCCAACACCCUCAUUUACCUGACAGUGAUUUGGCCAAUCCCUUAACAUCUCUAAGAGCUUCAUUUUUCUACAAAAUUGAGACAAUAGUAUUUGUUUCAUAGUGUUACUGUCAGGGUUAAAUGUUAUACAUUAAGCAUUUAAUAUAUGCUGCUUGUUUAUCUAAAUAUUCAUGGUCAGGCACUAACUUCUUAUGUGACUCUGAGCAAUGCAUUCAUCUCUGUACCUGUUUCCUCAUCCAUAAAUUGGGAGUUGAACAAGGUGAGCCCUAAGUUUCGUUCCAACUUCAAUAUUCUAUAAUUCUUGCAACUUAUAUGGCCUCAGUUUUCUUAUCUUUAUAAUGGGCAUAAGAGUACCUACCUCACAGAAUUUUUGAGAGGAUAAAAUGAAUUAAGACAGGUAGAAAAUUCUUAGAACAGUGCCUGCCACAUUGGAAGUGCUUAAUAUGUAUUAGCUGUGAUGAUGCUGCUAAUGAUGAAGAUGAUAAUGACCCUAUUUGCAGAUAGUAUGGCAGCCAUAAAACAUUCAGUAUCAGAUUGAUUACAUUCUCUUAUUUUCUGAGUCAAUGCCAGAGCUACCAAGAUUUUAUUCUUUAAAGGUUCUUCAAGACUAAAUUCUUUUUACAUGAUAUGAUUAUUACACAUUGUAUGUCCGUAUCAGACCAGCCUGGCCAACAAGGUGAAACCCCAUCUCUAAAAAUACAAAAAUUAGCAGGGCAUGGUGGCACGCACCUGUAGUCCCAGCUACUCGGGAGGCUGAGGCAGGAGAAUCACUUGAACCCGGGAGGCAGAGAUUGCAGUGAGCUGAGAUCGUGCCACUGCACUCCAGCCUGGCAGAGUGAGACUCCAUCUUAAAAAAUAAAUAAAUAAAUAAAUAAAUAAAUCUCAUGUACUCCAUAGAUAUGGGGUACCUACUAUGUACUCACAAAAAUUAAUUUUUUUUUAGAAAAGCCUAAGCUCAUUUGCUUCUUAGUAAGAAUUAUGUUAAGAUUUCCCAGUGUAGAUACCCUAGGCUGCUAAUUUUUUUUCUUUUGUUAUCAGUAUCUUAAGAAAUUAAUUGGCCCGGGAGUGGUGGCUCAUGCCUGUAAUCCCUGCAGUUUGGAAGGCCAAGAUGGGAGGAUUGUUUGAGGCCAAGAGUUCAAAACCAGCCUGGGCAACAUAGUGAGAUACUAUCUGUAUAUAAAAUAAAAAAAUUAGUGAGGCAUGGUGUCAUAAGCCUGUGGUCCCAGCUACUUGGGAGGCUGAGGUGAGAGGAUUGCUUGAGCCCAGGAGGUCAAGGCUGCAGUGAGCUGUGAUGGUGACACUGCACUCCAGCCUGGGCUAUAGAGCAAGACCCUGUCACCCUCCUCAAAAAAAAAAAAAAAAAGCAAUUAAUUGAUUUAUUUAUGGCCAUUCUCUCUUUUUGUGAGCUGGAUAUGUGUUCACUUUCAUUCUAAAAACGUACAGCCCCCAAAGCCCACACAUGUUGUCAAAGCUCACUACAUUUACCUAGAGAGUUUCCUGUAGUCUCCUCUUUCAAGUAUUUUAAAUAAUGCGUAAUUUCUUCAUGUAACUGAAACAUGUUAAUGUUGAGUUGGCACAGGAAGAAAAGUUUUGAUUUACUCAGAACUGGGAUUUGUGUGGGUCAUUUCCUAGUCCUCCUAAGUAUUUAACAAAUGUAAAAUGUAACACACAAUUAAAUAAGCUACCCAAGCCAAAUGAACUGGUGAGUGCAUUAUAAAUAGCAACCAAAAUUAUUCUUCAGUUGUUAACUGGUAUGUCCUGAUUUAAUAAUGAAUUACAUCAUUUGACAAAUGAGAUAAGACUUCCACCUUUAGCUUUCUGAUCCAAACUUCUAAUAGUUGAAAUGUAUUAUUACCAUCUGGUGUCUGGCCUCUGAAAUGCCCUGGCGAUAUCUGCCUCAUUUCAAGUAGUUGGGGCUUGCAUAUGCCAGCAAAGCACUCUCCGAAGUGUCUUGAUUGGCAGGCCCAGAGAGAAGGCUAAGAACCGAAUGAACCAUGGAGAUAUAGCUCCAGCUCUGUAGAAGUUUCCUCUGGUUCAAGGCAGACUCAUUUUCUUAGUUUGUGCAGCAAAAAAAUUGUCAUGAUCGAAGUUGUUUUUAUUUUGGAUCUCAAUCCUGAAGGAUGCAAUUCCUAUACUUACCAAGAAUGUUUCCAUCUGUUUUAAAUUAUUUCACUCCUUUUACAAACUGGCAAUAAUUUUAACACCUUUUAUUUUCAGUGAAAAUAAUUCGAGAAUGAAGCUGAGAAUGAUACAUAAGCCUAGAGUUUUAACUCAGUGAAGUAAUAUGAUUCUGACAGUUCUUUAUUUUUUCCACAUUGUGUUAGAUUCCUAGUAAAAAGGGAAGAUGAAUCUUAUUGCUUUCAAAAACCUGACAAUAUGGUAUGUAGGACAGAAUGAACAUACAUAGAACAAUAUCCAAUAACACAGAUGAAGGUGUCAAAGCCAUUGCCAGACAGAGUGGUGCAGAUUGUGAGAUCAGUUUUCUUGGUAAGUGUUAUGGACUGAAUGUUGGUAUUCUCUAACAUUCAUAGAUUAUAAUCUAAUCCCCAAUGUGAUGGUAGCACUAUCUGGGGGUGAGACCUUUGGGAAGUAAAGGUCUUUUUCUCUCCACACCUGACCAAAAGUAGGAGCUCAACAAAUGUAUGUGCACUGAAAUGGAAUGGGGGCAAACAGCCUGGUGGUAUAGUACAAAGCAAAAUUUGGUUAUGGUAGGAGCAGUACAGAUACAUCUGGAUCACAAUCUAAAUUCUCUCCAGGGACCAAAUACAUAGAUUUACCCCUUGGGUUAUUGGUCUGGUAGACUCUUAAUUUUUAAUAGGGUUUAUAUAAUCUAGACUUCUUAUAACCUCUGCCCCACUGGAUAUAGGUAUUACUCAGUUGAAGUUAAAAAUUGAAUAUAGGAUUAUAUGCAAUGCUUUAUCUAUAACUUUCUUGUAAGGAUAAACUCAGUACAUCUCUGGUUUUCUAAUAUUUUGGAGGAAAUGUUACAAAUAGGUAAGGAAAGUUUGAGCCUCAUUUACGCAUGAGGGUGGACCCCUCCUGAAUGAGAUUAAUGUCCUUAUAAGAAAAGGCCAGAGAGCUAGCUCACUCUCUUUCAGCAUGUGAGGACACAAGAAGCCCAGAGUCUGCAACCUGAAAGAGGGCCCUCACUAGAACCCAAUCAUGCUGACGCUGUGAUCUUGGACUUUCAGGCUCCAGAACUGUGAGAAAUAAAUUUCUGUUGUUUAUAAGCCAUCCAUUUCAUGACAAUUUGUUAUAGUGGCCUGAACAAAGACAAUAGGUAUAAAAGAGAAUUGAUAAAGAUGAAAUUUAGGAAUACAAUUAGAAGUGAAAUGCAAAUAACAAGAGGGUGACCCCGGAGUAGAAAAGUGUCUGUGUCUGGUAGAUUUGAAUAGUUUACAAAUGCCAAGCCUGUGCAAAAUAGGAGUUACCAAUAUUAAUGGCUGCAUCAUUACAAGGUGUAUCCAAAAGACACUUAAGAUUAAGUCUGUGUUUGUCAGUGGGGAGGUGAGAGUAGGAAAUGUUAAAUAACCUGCCCUUUGUCACUCAGCCAACAAGUAAGAGAGCAGGGAAUCAAGUUCAGAUCUAAGUCCUCUAAAGUUAUUCCCCAAACUCCUCACAGCUUCACUUAAUAACCAUUUCCUGCUUUGGUUGACUUUACAAAGAUGACCAUACAUUUGAGAGCAAAAGGGGAAGCUAUGAAUCAUUACAUCUGGACAAAUGGCAUGAAUCAAGAUCAUCCACUGCCAACUAGAGUGUAUGUUCAUCUUCUGUCUAUAUAUCUUCAUUCCCAGACAUCUACCAGACAUCCAGUGACUUAUCUGAGAAGUACACUUGGAGGUCAGUUUCUUGGAGUAAAUUGAUCAAAGUGUUAAAAUUCUGGAAAGUUAUUGUAUUUUAAAAUAGUUCACACAAAAAAAUAGUACAAUGAAAUGAAUCACUAUUAGUGGAAUUUCAGGCCCUCAGGUACCUGAUAAUAAGAACUCUUUCAAAACAACAUAACUUUCCUGGUACCUGUCAAAUCACAAUUUCUAUAUGAGAUAUGGCCAGCUGGGUAUUCAAGGAUAAUUGGUCAGCUACUGUGAUGAUUAAUAUGGAGUGUCAACUUGUUUGCAUUGAAGGAUGCAAAGUAUUGUUCCUGGGUUUGUCUGUGAGGGUUGUAUUAGUCUGUUUUCAUGACACUGAUAAAGACAUAUCUGAGACUGGGCAAUUUACAAAAGAAAGAGGUUUAUUGGACUUUCAGUUCCACAUGGCUGGGGAGGCCUCACAAUCAUGGUGGAAGGUGAAAAGCACAUCUCACAUGGCGGCAGACAAAAGCAGAGAGCUUGUGCAGGGAAACUCUCAUUUUGAAAACCAUCAUAUCUCAUGACACUUAUUCACUAUCAUGAGAACAUCAUGGGAAAGACCUGCUCCCAUGAUUCAAUUACCUCCCACUGGGUCACUCCUACAACACGUGGGAAUUCAAGAUAACAUUUGGGUGAGGAUACAGCCAAAUCAUAUCAAGGGUGCUGCCAAAGGAGAUUAACAUUUGAGUCAGUAGACUGGAAGAGGCAGACCCACCCUCAAUCUGAGUGGUUACCAUCUAAGCAUCUGCCAAUGCAGCUAGAAUAAAGCAAGCAGAAGAAAGUGGAAUGAGAAGACUUGCUGAGUCUUCUGGUCAUCAUCUUUUCCCCAUGCUGGAUGCUUCUUGCCCUUGAACAUCAGACUCCAAGUUCUUCAGCUUUCAGACUCUUGGACUUAGAGCAGUGGUUUGCUAGGGGCCCUCAGGCCUUCAGCCACAGACUGAAGCCUGCACUGUCGACUUCCCUACUUUUGAGGUUUUGGUACUUGGAUUGGCUUCCUUGCUCCUCAGCUUACAGCUGGCCUAUUAUGGGACUUCACCCUGUGAUCGUGAGUCAAUUAUCCUAAUAAACUCCCCUUCAUAUAUACAUAUAUAUUAUUAGUUCUUACCUCUAGCGAACCCUGACUAAUACAGAUUUCUAGAUGUACAGAUGGAUUGAGAGGCAAACACUCUAAAUUAACAAGGCAGAAAUGAAAGAGCUGUUCUGCCCAAGAUCUUCAGCACUGCUCAGACCUCUAUAAGAAUUUCUUAUCCAGUUCAAAACUUAUCAACUUAAGAAAAAUAUAGAAAAUUUGUAAAGCAUUCAGAAGAAACUAAAGACUAAAGCAAAAUGAUAUGUUCAAAUACUUAACACUGCCAAAAUGUAAUGCAUUUCAAUAAAGUGAUAUAUGUCCUUAACUCACACAAAUUAAUAAAUGUCUAAUAGACAUACAUAUGGGAAGUGAAUAUCAAAUGCCUGUGUACUAUUUGUAUAAAAUCUAAGUUAAAACUCAUUUCCAUCCCAAAGAUGUGUGAUAUGUAAAAUAAUAUUCUACGUAUUUUGUUUAAUUUUGGGGGGUCAUUUAAGAUUUUUUUAUUUGCAGAAAAAAGAUGCUACAAACAAAAUUAAUGGGAAAAAACAAAAAUUAGUACCAAAAGAGGAAACGAGGACAAGGAAAAACACGAGCACAUAGAAAAAUGUAAAAAUACUCAAGCCAGGCUCAGAGAACCAGCAUCCCUGACAGCAAGUGUUGUUAAACAUCCACGUGGGUUGCUAAGGAAGGUUAGGGAAUCUCCCUUUCCCAGAAGUCUUUAAAAAUAGGAUAACAUCUGUUUGGAUGGGAUAAUGGUGGUACUGCUUGACUUGGCAGCUUCUUAAGCAAACCUAUGGUUUGGUAAUUCUACCAUUUCUAUUUCUGAUUUGAAAAGUAACAAAUAACUUCAGUUCACCUAGAAAAUUGGGCCUUAUAAUGACUUGUAAUAUUGUCUUAUAAAACUAUUUUCAUUGUCAUUAAUAGUGCAAAGGUAGAUAAUUGAGGUUUUCAGAGUAUACUUGAAUUUGCAGCCAAGGCUCAAACUUUCCUUAUCUAUUUGUAACAUUUCCUCCAAAAUAUUAGAAAACCAGAGAUGUACUGAGUUUAUCCUUACAAGAAAGUUAUAGAUAAAGCAUUGCACAUAAUCCUAUAUUCAAUUUUUAACUUCAACUGAGUAAUGCCUGUAUUCAGUGGGGCAGAGCUUAUAAGAAGUCUAGAUUAUAUAAACCCUAUUAAAAAUUGGAGUCUGCCAGACCAAUAACCCAAGGGGUAAAACAUAUAUAUUUGGUCCCUGGAGAGAAUUUAGACUGUGAUCCAGAUGUAUCUGUACUCCUCUUACCAUAACCAAAUUUUGCUUUCUACUAUACUACCAGACUGUUUGCCCCCAUUCCUUUUCACUGCACAUAUAUUUGUUGAGCUCCUACUUUUGGUCAGGUGUGGAGAGAAAAAGCCCACAGUCCCUGCCCUUGAGGAACACAUAAUCCAAAAAAAAAUGCAUGGGUGGCUCCAGGUGUUGUAGGGUCUUAGGCAAGUAUAAUUUUGGACAUGCAUUUUAAGAAAAAGAAUACAAAAUUACAAAUGCAGAAUUACUAAUAAAAGUGAAUAUUUAUUGUAUAGAGAAAAUUAAUCACAACAAAUUACAAGUUUUAGCAUUCUCACAAAUGCCAGAAAUACCACAAAAUCUCAGAAAAAAACCUAUAUUUUGUAUUAAUUAGCUGACUGAUCACAUGUAUAAUUCUACGUGUUCUACUUUUGGUUGCAUAUUGUUGACCACAUGAGAAAAAUUUCUUUAUUUACUUAUUCAGAUGGAGUUUCGCUCUGUCGCCCAGGCUGGAGUGCAGUGGCGCUAUCUCAUCUCACUGCAACCACUGCCUCCCAGGUUCAAGCGAUUCUCCUGCCUCAGCCUCCCGAGUAGCUGGGACUACAGGGGCAUGCCACCAGGCCCAGCUAAUUUUUGUAUUUUUAGUAGAGACGGGGUUUCACCAUGUUGGCCAGGAUGGUCUCAAUCUCUUGACCGCAUGAUCCACCCGCCUCGGCCUACAAAAGUGCUGGGAUUACAGGCGAGAGCCACCACGCCAGGCCAAGAAUUGUUUAUAUUAUUUUCUAUACAGAGAAAACAGUGAUAAUUUAUUCAGUCAUUCCUUUGGCAUGAUUGAAAUUUGUUUUCUUUCUGGCUCACAACUCUUUAAUAAUUAUAAGUAAGUUUUCAGGAUUGUUGUCAAGUACAGGAAAACUUCAGUCAAAUUUCUUUCAUAUAUGAACUGCAAGAGCUAUAAGAUUUCAGGGCAUUGAUAAUUUUCUUGCAUGUAAGUAAUUUUAAAUACUCUUUCAAUUGAUGUUACUCAUUAACCAGCUUGUCACUGGUGUCCUUGUUGUAAUGGUGUAGUGUGAGUUCAAUUUUAUCUCUGUCAAUGUCAGGAUUGUGUAUCAAAUUUGAAAGAAAUUUAAGUAUUUUCUCAAAGAGUUCAUGUGAUUCAGUCCUCUGGGUUAAAUGUGUUAUCAAAAACUAAAAAGCCCAUUCAGUACUUCCCUCUUCCUGUUAAUGAAUUAUUGCUCUUUGUAUUAUCUAAAAAUAUUUCUGUUACAAUUUACUUCUUGAUGUCAAAGUGAUUUCUAUUUGACUUUAUCUCUCAAUUGUUUUUUCAUAUCCUAUCAAAUUUCAUCUGCAUUUUCUCCCAGUUUCUUAUUACAUUAAUUCAUAGAUGACAAAAGAGUUACUCUUCAUAUAUGCCCAUAUUAGGAGUCAUUGAUUUCUGUGGGUUUUUAAUUGAAAAGAUCCAAAACAUCUAUGCAAAUUCCAGUUAAAAUGAAGUAUUUAUGUCUUAUUAAUUUUUUGAAUAAUCUGUUCACUUCUUGUUUUUGUUACUCUUCCAUGACUUUAAAAAUAUAUUUCAGGGUCAUUAAAUUGCACUGUACAAUGUUUUAAGACUUGAGAAGCUUUAGUGUGGGCAAACCAAACCAUGUUGUUACCUUUAGACUCUUAAAAGAAAUACUCUUGUUGGCAUUUUAAAAGUUGAGGUAAAAUUACCAUUCAAUAAAAUGUACAUAUCAUAGUGUUCAGCUCAAUGAGUUUUGAAUAGGCCAGGCGCAUUGACUCACUCCUGUAAUCCCAGCACUUUGGGAAGCCAAGGCAGGUGGAUCAUGAGAUCAGGAGUUCAAGACCAGCAUGACCAACAUGGUGAAACCCCGUCUCUGCUAAAGAAUACAAAAAUUAGCCAGGCGUGGUGGCACGUGCCUGUAGUCCCAGCUACUUGGGAGGCUGAGGCAGGAGAAUCGCUUGAACCUGGGAGGCGGAGGCUGCAGUGAGCCGAGAUAGCACCACUGCACUCCAGCCUGGGCGACAGAGCGAGACUCUGUCUCAAAAAGACAAAACAAAUAGAGGGCAUUUCCAGCAUCCAGAAAGUUCCCUUUCUCAUCCGUACCCCCUUCCUCAUCCAUCCUCACCCCCAGAGCAACCCUUUUCUAAUUCUGUCACCAUAAUACAUUUCGCCUACUCUCAGACUUCACAUCAGUGGAAUCACUCAGUAUGUAAUCUUUUGUGUCUUAUUUUGCUCAGCAUGAUUUUGAGAAUCAACCACAUUGUUGCAUGUAUGGACAGUUUGUUCUGUCUUAUUAUGAAGUGUUAUUUCACUAUAUAAAUAUACCAUUAUUUGUUUAUUCAUUCUCCUAUCGAUGGACAUUUAGGUUCUUUCCAGCUGGGGCUGUUAUUAAUAAGGAUGCUUUGAAUGUUCUUAUACAAGUCUUUGCAUGGACAUGUGUUUUCAUUUCUCUUGGCUACCUAUCUGAGAAUACAAUUGUUCAGUAAUAGAGUAGAUAUAUGUUUAACUUUAUUAGAAACAUGGCAUAUGUAUUUUACGUACUCCCUCUAUAAGAAAAACACAAAAACAAGACAUGUAAUUGUUGCACAAUACUGAAGUGGCCCAAGAAUUAGGGUUCCUUAAAGGAAGCCUUCUUCCACCUGUAUUGAUCAUCCAUGGUAUUGAUCAUCCAUGGCUCCUCACCAGGCAUCAUUCUUUGGGUCAGCUAGGCAGAAUGACUUGCUGCUCCCUGAGUAUGUGAUGCAGUCUCUUCCCUAUGAGUCUCCCUACUAGGUACUUCCUCUGACUGGCUGCUCUGCUCUCAUCCUUUACCUGCCCUGUCUAAUCUUAAAGACUGGAUUUAAUCAUUUUCAUCUCUGGGAGGCCUUUCAUACCACCCUCCCCAAACCCCCAUCAUCACUGUCAAGGUUGAAUUAAGUGUCUCUUCUCUGUGCUCCCAUAGAAACUCAGGUUUUUCUCUAUAACUGCUAGUCUAUUUGUCUAUCUCCACUGCUAGACUAUAAGCUCCCUAUGGGUGGAAUCCUGUUCACUGUUAUGAUCUAUUGCCUAGCAAAGUUCUUGACCCAGAAUAGGUGCCUGACAAGUAUCAAUUGAAUCCAUGAAUAAAUAGUUGAGCAGGUUUGAUGUUGUUGGCAUUGGGUGAAGUUUAUUUAUACUUUAUGAUAUUCAGGUAGAAAUAGGUUGUUAGUUGUAUAGGUCUGGAGUUCAAAUAUUGGGCUUACGGGCAGGAGGAGGACAAGAGGUAUGGAUAUGGGAACUCCCCUUACUUUCAGUCACAUUGUAUACAGGUAAGAACUGAAAGUUUGGGAUUCAAUACAAAUACUUGAGGAAAGUUUCCAGUUUUGAAGAUAAUUAAGAGAGAAUGAGAGAAGGGGCCAAAUUGCAGUAGAUUAUGGUGUAAAUGAAAAGAGAAGGGGAGAAAUGCAAACAGUAUAGACAGAUAAUUCAAGAAUUUUGGUGCUGAGAUUCCAAGUAGAGCAAUUACAAUAUGUCCCAACAAACAGAUGAGAUUGGAUAAUGUUGUUUCUUUCACUUUUAUUUUUGUUAGUUUAAGAAGGAAAAGACAGCUAAGACUAUCGAAGGACCAGUGUCAUUGGACAGAGGAAAUUCUGUGACAGGUAUGAGAAGAUACAAAUGAGACAAAUUUAGUUCAUAUAAAGUUUUUACUGAGGUCUCACACCAUUAAGUCAUGAUAUGAGUUGGUUGGUUUGUUUGUGUCAUGAAUAGGGACUGCCUGAC
rnacentral:lncRNA from 1 species